UUCAUAAAGGGAUUAGUAAUGGACAGAACUGCUGCAAUAAUAUAGUAUAAAUUCCACACUGACCACAUUAUAGAUUAAACUGUUCAUCAAAGCAAAUAAGAAGCAUGUCAUUUCUGGUCUUUGUCAUAAACAAGUCCUGGAAAAGUAUGAGCAGUGAACUGAAAUAAGAGGACUAGAGGUGAAUGUUUCUUGUAAAUCAGAUAAGGCUCACAGGGAUGACAAAAGAAGGAGUGUUGAGAAGAGGCUGUGCAGGCAUGUUUUGAGAGAGCAGGACUGCUUGCUAGGAAGGACAGGGGGUUUAAGACUAUCCCACAGAGACUCAGGUUAAUGGAUUGUCUAAGAAAUCAGUUUUGUUGAAUUGACAAAGACAGCAGAGGACAGAGGUCAAAGUUGCUCUCAUGACUUGACUGGCAAUCUGGAAAGGGUGAGAGUAAAGGCAAUAUUGACUCAAACAGUCCCCUUAAUGAGUAGACAUGGAUGUGAAAAAUAAAGAGAGUAAAGUAAGGAGAAUAAAAAAAGGGGGGAAUAAAACAAUACCUAAUGAGUUAACAGCUGAGUGUUAAGUAGAAUUGAAGGCCAGAAGGUGAUAGGGGGACCACUGAUAAAGUAGAUCACAAGGACUGAGGAAUAUAAAGCCCGAGUCACACAUUCACUUCUAUGACUCCCGGCGCUCUCCCGACUCAGACCACGCCUCCCACCGUCGGGCCGCACGCCGACAGUUUUGGACAUUUUCAAAACAAUUGGGGCCCUCCCCGAUAUCUGUCACCCGUCGUGAAUAAGCUACGGCCGUUGGAUGUCAUCUCAACGACGUCGUAACAACGUUGUUUCGACAUCGGCUAUGGUUGGCACUCAAGGGGAUGGACUUACGAUGGUCGUUACGUACGUCUGGCAGCGCGACAUUCCAAAACCGGCAGUGCGUGGUCUGAUGUCGGGAGGGUGCCGGGAGUCAUUGUCGUGAAUGUGUGACUGGGGCUUAAGGAGAGAAGAGGGAGGGUGUGAGUGAUGGAAGAAGGGGAGUGUAUGAACAGGGAGAACUGGAGACUCCUCUGCCAUAGCCACUUCCUCAAGAGGAAUGCCUGGAAGGAAAAGGGCAUCAAGGCAUUAGAUAGGAAGAGUCCAAGAGUAAAUCAAUACAGAAAUGAGGAAGAGUGCCUUCCCUGGGAGUGGACCCCGUACGCAGGAUGAUUGUGAGAGGCGUUGGUACAACGUACAACAAAAAUCAAAGCCUCGCAUUACCAUGUACAAGAAUGAGCAGCGGCAGACUGCUCCGCUGCUCUAUUGCUGGAGAUCAUCCCAGCACAGUUCAUUUCUUGUGGAGGAGGUACCAUCAGCUGCUCUGGCACCAGCCACUGCUUCAACAUCUGCUGGCCCUAUGGCAUCUGCCACUGCUUCAUCAAUUGAUGGCCCAAUGACACCUGCCACUGCAAGGGACGACAACGAAGCUGCUCCACCACACUCUCCACCUACUUCAUCGGAGUUAAGAGAUGCCUUUCAUAGGGCAGCAGUAAAAUAUUUUGAUGCUGGGGCUGAAUAUUACCACCUCAAGGUUAUGAAGCUAAGGAGAGACCUUAAUAUUAAAUAAAUCCUCAAAACACUUUAUCU